UGAGCCAUUUCGAGAAUUUGGGGACCGUUGAUUAAACAUUUAUUUGUUUUUUUGAUGGAAACCAAUUUAAUCGCAGUGGCUUGAACCGGGCAAAAGUCGUAACAAGGUAGCUGUAGGUGAACCUGCUGCUGGAUCAUUA
rnacentral:rRNA from 1 species